AUCGCUUCUCGGCCUUUUGGCUAAGAUCAAAUGUAGUAUCUGUUCUUACCAUUUUAAUAUCUGAUAUGUCCUCUAUCCAAGGACAAUAUAUUAAAUGGACUUUUGGAGCAGGGAGUUGAAAAAUACAAUGGCAAUCACAU
rnacentral:snRNA from 1 species